rnacentral:rRNA from 1 species
UACCAGCUCUCCGAGUGGUAGGGAUGAUUAUUGGGCUUAAAGCGUCCGUAGCCGGCUUAGCAAGUUUCCUGUUGAAUUCAGCGACCUAAUCGUUGAGCCGCGGGAAAUACUACUAGGCUAGGAGGCGGGAGAGGUCGACGGUACUUCUGGGGUAGGGGUGAAAUCCUAUAAUCCCGGGAGGACCACCAGUGGCGAAGGCUGUCGACUAGAACGCGCUCGACGGUGAGGGACGAAAGCUGGGGGAGCGAACCGGAUUAGAUACCCGGGUAGUCCCAGCUGUAAACGAUGCGGGCUAGGUGUUGGGGUGGCUACGUGCCACUUCAGUGCCGCAGGGAAGCCAUUAAGCCCGCCGCCUGGGGAGUACGGCCGCAAGGCUGAAACUUAAAGGAAUUGGCGGGGGAGCACCACAAGGCGUGAAGCUUGCGGUUC